rnacentral:rRNA from 1 species
UACGAAGGGGGCUAGCGUUGCUCGGAUUUACUGGGCGUAAAGGGCGCGUAGGCGGAUAGUUAAGUUGGGGGUGAAAGCCCGGGGCUCAACCUCGGAAUUGCCCUCAAUACUGGCUAUCUUGAGUGUGAGAGAGGUGUGUGGAACUCCGAGUGUAGAGGUGAAAUUCGUAGAUAUUCGGAAGAACACCAGUGGCGAAGGCGACACACUGGCUCACUACUGACGCUGAGGCGCGAAAGCGUGGGGAGCAAACAGG